rnacentral:rRNA from 1 species
UACGGAGGGUGCAAGCGUUGUCCGGAAUCACUGGGCGUAAAGGGCGCGUAGGCGGCUCAUGAAGGCUGUGGUGAAAGUCCGGGGCUCAACCUCGGAUCGGCCGUGGCGACUCGUGGGCUGGAGCACUGUAGAGGCGGGUAGAAUUCCGGGUGUAGCGGUGGAAUGCGUAGAGAUCCGGAAGAACACCAGUGGCGAAGGCGGCCCGCUGGGCAGUGGCUGACGCUGAGGCGC